CGUAUGUCACAAGCGUUAUCCGGAUUUAUUGGGCGUAAAGCGCGUCUAGGUGGUUAUAUAAGUCUGAUGUGAAAUGCAGAGCUCAACUCUGUAUUGCGUUGGAAACUGUGUAACUAGAGUACUGGAGAGGUAAGCGGAACUACAAGUGUAGAGGUGAAAUUCGUAGAUAUUUGUAGGAAUGCCGAUGGGGAAGCCAGCUUACUGGACAGAUACUGACGCUAAAGCGCGAAAGCGUGGGUAGCAAACAGGAUU
rnacentral:rRNA from 1 species